rnacentral:piRNA from 1 species
UGACAUUUGGAAUUCUUGGGAC